ensembl:lncRNA
GGAGGUGGGGGGUGGGGGGGCACAGGAGUGGGGGGUAGUGUUUGUUAACAGUGCGAAUGGCCCAGGGGAAGAAACUGUUUGUGAGUCUGAAGGUGUGGGACCUGAUUGACCUGAGGCACUGACCAGAGGGCAGCGGGUCAAACAGGCAGCCAGGGUGCAAGGGAUCACCUGUGACGGCCCUGGUUUUCCUGAGACAGGAGGAUCUGCUGAUGGCCUCCAGGGGUGGCAUUUGUUUUUUUAAGGUGGUCUUAAUUACCGUCUGUGCAGCCUUCCAGUUCUCUGUUGUGGUCCGUGCGUAGCAAACACCCAGGCAGCAGGAGACCACGCUCUCCACUGAGGAUCGAUGCAAAGCCAGCAGCAGCUUCUGGUCCAGGUUCUUCUUCCUCAGGACACAAAGGAAGUGCAGCUGCUGCUGGGCCUUCUUUAUGGUGUUGUGCAUCCAGGUGAGAUCCAUGGAGAUGUAGGUGCCCAGAAACCUGAAGGUGGAGACAGAUUCCACCUGUUCUCCAUUUAUAAUGAGAGAAAAGUAGACCACUCUGUGCCUCCUCACGUCCAUGAUGAGUUCUUUGGUUUUGGUUGUUUUCUAAACAACAACAGGACAAAUUCUCUUCUUCUGUUACCUCCGUCAUACCUGAUGAUGACGUUGGUUGGAUGGAUUGGUGUACAGUCAACUAUGUGUGUUUGUGAGAGCUAACCAUGCCUUGUGCUCCAGGGAUGGGUCCUUCUGCUGCUUCCCACCUUUCACCUCCAUGCACCUGGGAUGAUUAACUCACCUCCUCAGGUUGAAACGCUGAGCUGGCUCCUUCCUCUUGCCCUGGAUGGAGUUCCUCCAUUUGAGCAGUCCUUCCCACUCCCGCCUUUUACCUGGAAAUAAUAUGUGUGGAGUGUGUCAGGCCGGAGGUUCCAACAGUUCUUUCCCAGAUUGUUGUCGCUGCGAUGUUACCAGCUCUGAACCUCCUCACACAUCUUACCUGGAAACCUGCUCACUUGUUGCCUCCAGAAACCCCCAGAACUACUCACCAGCCCCAUGUAAUCUGUCAAAGGAAGGACUUACCCGCUCACCUGCCUGCCCGCUCUUCAAGCGCUUUCUCCGCCACCUGUCUGAUACUCGCCAGCUACCUUCACACUCCCUCUGAGCCUCCCCUCACUUCCAACGCAACCAAGACCUCUGGUUCACUCUCAUUAUUCUCAUCAUCCUCUUGGGUUCCUGUUAAUCUCUUGUCUCCUGUCUAACAGAGCUUCCGUGUACCAGUCUAAAGUGUCUCCGAAUUUCUCCACCAACUGUCUGAACCCAUUAACAAUUCAUUCUUUCACAGUAAACAGUACGAACCUUUCUGCUGUUGUCUGAGUCUGCUCUUUGGGCCCGCUUUUUGCCAUAAUACGACAUUGUCGCU